UACGUAGGGUGCGAGCGUUAAUCGGAAUUACUGGGCGUAAAGGGUGCGCAGGCGGCCAAGUGUGUUAGGCGUGAAAGCCUGGGGCUUAACCCCAGAAUUGCACCUAAAACUACAUGGCUAGAGCAUUGGAGAGGGUAGCGGAAUUCACGGUGUAGCAGUGAAAUGCGUAGAUAUCGUGAGGAACACCAGAGGCGAAGGCGGCUACCUGGACAAUUGCUGACGCUCAGGCACGAAAGCGUGGGGAGCAAAAGGG
rnacentral:rRNA from 1 species